CCGUGCUAGACGGGGAGUUAGCGGUGCCCUGUAGCCCGAAAUCCGCUCAUGCGGGGUCGAAAAUCCUUCCUGAGAAACAAGAAUUAGGGGUCAAUUCAGUUGGUAAGAGAGGAGGUCGGACCUCGUUUGACAGAUGAUUAUGAACCCCGUCAGAUCCGGGAGGAAGCAGCGGUAAAUAAUUCAAUCUGCAUUACGAAGCAAUCUGGCCCAAUUACCUUUUCUUAUCAGAAGAUUAUCCCUUUUUCUGUUCAAAGGAGGAUGCACGG
rnacentral:SRP_RNA from 1 species